GUAGGGGGCAAGCGUUGUCCGGAAUUAUUGGGCGUAAAGCGCGCGCAGGCGGUCUCUUAAGUCCGAUGUGAAAGCCCACGGCUCAACCGUGGAGGGUCAUUGGAAACUGGGGGACUUGAGUGUAGGAGAGGAAAGUGGAAUUCCACGUGUAGCGGUGAAAUGCGUAGAUAUGUGGAGGAACACCAGUGGCGAAGGCGACUUUCAGGCCUACAACUGACGCUGAGGUGCGAAAGCGUGGGGAGCAAACAGGGAUUAGAUACCCUGGUAGUCCACGCCGUAAACGAUGAGUGCUAGGUGUUAGGGGUUUCGAUGCCCCUUAGUGCCGAAGUUAACACAUUAAGCACUCCGCCUGGGGAGUACGACCGCAAGGUUG
rnacentral:rRNA from 1 species